rnacentral:rRNA from 1 species
GUCCUACGGGGCGCAGCAGUGGGGAAUAUUGCACAAUGGGGGAAACCCUGAUGCAGCGACACCGCGUGAGUGAAGAAGUAUUUCGGUACGUAAAGCUCUAUCAGCAGGGAAGAAAAUGACGGUACCUGACUAAGAAGCCCCGGCUAACUGCGUGCCAGCAGCCGCGGUAAUACGUAGGGGGCAAGCGUUAUCCGGAUUUACUGGGUGUAAAGGGAGCGUAGACGGCAGCGCAAGUCUGGAGUGAAAUCCCAUGGCUUAACCAUGGAACUGCUUUGGAAACUGUGCAGCUAGAGUGCAGGAGAGGG